rnacentral:rRNA from 1 species
UUGCUCGCCACUUCGCCCUCCUCAAAUAAGAUUAUUACCAUUAUUGAAGCUGUUAAUG